UUAUUCCCGGCAAACAAUGCGAGGGCUGGUGAGGUACCUCUCGCUCUAAUUUCUCUAGUCUAGUCUAGUUGCCUCGCUUCCUCCUAUAGCGAUUCUGUCGAGCUGAGCUUUCACGUCCCUCAUCACCGAUCUCCUUCCUACCCCUCGCCUAAGAUCGUCUGACGUCUCGCCUGACACCUUUCGUUGUGUUAGUACUCCGCGGCUGCUGUCACUGUAGAAAUUAGGUUGUGUGUGUAAAAAAACGUAAACAGUGUUGUGGGCUGAUCAAUUUUGGUAAGUUUUUUAAUAAUUAUGUUCUUAAUUUUACGUAAGUAAGUGCCAUUUUAGCAAAAGUAAGUGGUAGAAGUCCUGCCCAAUGCGUGCUGGCUCCGUCGGAAGCGGUACCUGCAUGUACCGGCAUAGGAAAGUGGUGUGAUGAACAACACAACAUAAGGCAGCGGGUAAGUUGUUAGCCAAACAUGAGCAUAAUUAUGAAGCAAUUUAAUGCUAAUCGUGAUAUUUUUUAUCCAUUUUUGCAGGUAUCCGUCCAACAGCAGGUUUCAGUGGUAAAUGUGCAGAAAUCUGUGUGGUGGAAUGCGUAAAACAGCACUUUUGAAAAGUUAACUGUCCAGUGAUGUUGUCGGGCUUUGGUGAUGCACGCACGCACCACAAUGUGCAGGGACAUUCACCGACAGAAAGAUUUUGUUCCCGACAUGCAGUUACACACAGAGCGAGAAUCAACAAAGGUAGAUGUACGAACAGCCGCUACUAGUUGAUCGUGACGGACGAUAAAAUGAGGUCCCUUCGAACUAUUUGAGAGGAAUCGUCCUAAAUUUGUUCACGACACGAUAGCAUUUGCUGGAACCAAAUACCUUUCCUUACAACAGGAUGUGUCGUAAACGGGUUGGUGCAAUUGCAGAUACGGUCUGUCGUUCUGCAAAGGAUACAUAGUGUCAUAUGACCCACCACACUCAGCGAUUGUCGUCCUAUUAUUGUGUAGAUAUGUUUUUGUAGGGCAUUUGCAUGAACAGUGCGGAUGGAACGUUUUACGUGUAGUAUAGUCGCGUGAUUUGUAAUGCAUUCGUGAACGGAAUCCUGUUUGCAUUCGUUGAAUGUACGUAACCAGGUAGCGUAGGGACACUGUAUGUGAUAGACUGAUAAUGGGGGCCCUUCACGAUUCUAGUUAGUUUUUUGUAUGGAGUUUGACAGUUGGAGGCUGAAAUCAUGUAAACAAUCCAUACAAAACCACACAAAAAACUAGCCUGCGAUUUUCAGUCUAGAAAAUUUUAGCCUAAAAGCUAGAAUUAGAUUCGAGUACCUGCUCGAAAACACGGGUUUGUUUACAUUUAUCUCAAGGUGCAUUAAAGAAAUCAGGUGAUCGAAUCUGGAAUCAAAGUGUAUGUAGUCCAGGUGGUCUCAUAGCAUGUUUUUAUAACCAAAUUUGAAUAUCACUUUUUGACAGAACGAGUGAAAACUUUUGCUCCAACGAGCUUUCUUUAGGCUUGACGAAUACUCAAAACACUCUUACAAUCAUCAUUCAGAAGCAGAAGCGAUAAAAAUAAGCCUUCUAAAUUCAUACACCUUGGGAUAAGCCCACCUGUAUAUUAUACUCACUUAGAUAGCUGCUUGAAAAUUGCUAUGCAAUGCACACAGCUGACAGGCUGAAAUUUCAGCCUACGAGCUUCAAACGGAAAGGGCCCCAAUGAUAGGAAAAAUUAAACGUAAGGGAAGGUAAAAGAUGUGAUAACUCAAUGUUAUGUUAC